rnacentral:rRNA from 1 species
UACGGGGGGGGCAAGCGUUGUUCGGAAUUACUGGGCGUAAAGGGCUCGUAGGUGGCCAACUAAGUCAGACGUGAAAUCCCUCGGCUUAACCGGGGAACUGCGUCUGAUACUGGAUGGCUUGAGAUUGGGAGAGGGAUGCGGAAUUCCAGGUGUAGCGGUGAAAUGCGUAGAUAUCUGGAGGAACACCGGUGGCGAAGGCGGCAUCCUGGACCAACACUGACACUGAGGAGCGAAAGCCAGGGGAGCGAACAGG